AGUGAACGCUGGCGGUAGGCCUAACACAUGCAAGUCGAACGGCAGCACAGUAAGAGCUUGCUCUUACGGGUGGCGAGUGGCGGACGGGUGAGGAAUACAUCGGCAUCUACUUUUUCGUGGGGGAUAACGUAGGGAAACUUACGCUAAUACCGCAUACGACCUACGGGUGAAAGCAGGGGAUCUUCGGACCUUGCGCGAUUGAAUGAGCCGAUGUCGGAUUAGCUAGUUGGCGGGGUAAAGGCCCACCAAGGCGACGAUCCGUAGCUGGUCUGAGAGGAUGAUCAGCCACACUGGAACUGAGACACGGUCCAGACUCCUACGGGAGGCAGCAGUGGGGAAUAUUGGACAAUGGGCGCAAGCCUGAUCCAGCCAUACCGCGUGGGUGAAGAAGGCCUUCGGGUUGUAAAGCCCUUUUGUUGGGAAAGAAAAGCAGCAGGUUAAUACCCCGCUGUUCUGACGGUACCCUAAGAAUAAGCACCGGCUAACUUCGUG
rnacentral:rRNA from 1 species